rnacentral:sRNA from 1 species
CUCCCUUGGCGAGUUGGCAUCGCCGUCCUUUGCUCCCUGCCAACGUCUCGUGAUACAUCACGACCUUCUUUUCUCUUCCUCACUUGCGCUGUAUAUCCCAUCCCUUUCUUGUUCUUCCUCUUUCCUCGCCUUUUUGUUUCUUUUCCUAUUUUGUCUCUUUUUUUCUUUUCCUUUUCCUUUUUUUGCCAUAUUCUUAUUAACUUUCUUCUCCUAUCCCAACUUCAACUCAACCGGGGGCGGCGACUCUUCCGUUAACCAGUGGCACUUCCCUUUAGCCUCGCCUCUCCUCUCCUCUCCUCUCCUCUCCCCCUC